GUAGACCAGGCUGGCUUUGAACUCACAGAGAUCCGCCUGCCUCUGCCUCCCACGUGCUGGUAUUAAAGGUGUGCUCCCCCCAACGCCCGGCCAGCAGCCUUCACAAGAGCCAGGCCCCCGGCUUCAACAGCUGUUGAGCACAUUCUCUUACGGAGGAGGUUCUACCUGCGUCAGGCAUGGCCUUUCUCAGCGAUAGCCAUUUUGCAAGGUGUCUGAGUGUCUUCUCAGUUCCUGAGUCUGGAGUCCAGCCUGUGACACUCUGCUUUUUACACUCUGACAGGGGAUGAACGGUGGGAACCGUGUCUAAAGGGUUGCCCUCCUGCUGCCUCACUCCUCACAGGAAGCUUUCAAAAUAAAAGAUGCUGUUAUUAGCCAAA